AAAGUUUAAAAGCAAAACAUUUAAUAAAAUGUUACGCAAAGCUAUGGACCCACUAAUUGGGCUGCCAGGCUGCCAGA
rnacentral:ncRNA from 1 species